rnacentral:tRNA from 1 species
CCCUUCCUGGUCUAGCAGCUAAGAUUCCUGCUUUUCACCCAGGCUACCCAGGUUCAAUUCCUGGGCAGGGAA